rnacentral:misc_RNA from 1 species
UACAGACCUGUAAUGAUUUGCGGUAAUGAUCGCAACUUUAAGAACAUCUAAGGGACUGAGUUCUCUAAUACAUUUUUCUCAAAAUUUUUGUUUUUCUUUGUUUUCGCUUUGAAAUUUCAAUUAAAACUAUGUGGGCUUUGUUUAUUGUAAGCUUACAGCUUUACACUAAGUUCAAUUAGUUAAUGCUGCUAUUAAUGAAGCCUAAAAAGUUGUUUCCCUCGCUAUCCAAGUCUGCAAUACAUGUUGCAUUUGGACGUCGGGAAACUACAUUUCUUCUUAUGUAUUUCUAC